GACGAACCGAGCGAACGUUGUUCGGAAUCACUGGGCUUAAAGGACGCGUAGGCGGGUGCUCAAGUCCGGGGUGAAAUCCUCCAGCUCAACUGGAGAACUGCCUCGGAUACUGGGUGCCUCGAGGGUGGUAGGGGUAUGCGGAACUAUCGGUGGAGCGGUGAAAUGCGUUGAUAUCGAUAGGAACUCCGGUGGCGAAGGCGGCAUACUGGACCACUUCUGACGCUGAGGCGCGAAAGCCAGGGGAGCAAACGGG
rnacentral:rRNA from 1 species